rnacentral:lncRNA from 1 species
GCGCUCACGCUCCCAGCAGGCCAGCUCUUCUGCACAGUGCAAUGCCCCGCAGGAAAUCCGCGUCGGGAGGCUCUAAUGCCGCCGGCCCAGACCCGGGGAGGCAAGUGGUUCUGAGCCGGUUCUUCAAGUCUGCGGGAAGCCUAAGAUCCAGCGUGUCCCCCACAGAACCAGCAGAGAAGGUAGAGUACGGCUCCACAGCGCCC